GAUAGAGGGUGCAAACGUUGUUCGGAAUUACUGGGCGUAAAGCGCGUGUAGGCGGCCCUGCAAGUCGGGUGUGAAAUCCCAUGGCUCAACUAUGGAAGUGCAUUCGAAACUGCAGGGCUAGAGUCCUGGAGAGGAAGGUGGAAUGCUUGGUGUAGAGGUGAAAUUCGUAGAUAUCAAGCGGAACACCGGUGGCGAAGGCGGCCUUCUGGACAGUGACUGACGCUGAGACGCGAAAGCGUGGGGAGCAAACAGG
rnacentral:rRNA from 1 species